AUUGAACGCUGGCGGCAGGCUUAACACAUGCAAGUCGAGCGGAGAUGAGGUGCUUGCACCUUAUCUUAGCGGCGGACGGGUGAGUAAUGCUUAGGAAUCUGCCUAUUAGUGGGGGACAACAUUCCGAAAGGAAUGCUAAUACCGCAUACGUCCUACGGGAGAAAGCAGGGGAUCUUCGGACCUUGCGCUAAUAGAUGAGCCUAAGUCGGAUUAGCUAGUUGGUGGGGUAGAGGCCUACCAAGGCGACGAUCUGUAGCGGGUCUGAGAGGAUGAUCCGCCACACUGGGACUGAGACACGGCCCAGACUCCUGCGGGAGGCAGCAGUGGGGAAUAUUGGACAAUGGGGGGAACCCUGAUCCAGCCAUGCCGCGUGUGUGAAGAAGGCCUUAUGGUUGUAAAGCACUUUAAGCGAGGAGGAGGCUACUGAGACUAAUACUCUUGGAUAGUGGACGUUACUCGCAGAAUAAGCACCGGCUAACUCUGUGCCAGCAGCCGCAGUAAGAC
rnacentral:rRNA from 1 species